UAGUUGGUAGGGUAAAGGCCUACCAAGGCUAAGACGGGUAGCUGGUCUGAGAGGAUGAACAGCCACACUGGAACUGAGACACGGUCCAGACUCCUACGGGAGGCAGCAGUGGGGAAUCUUGCGCAAUGGGCGAAAGCCUGACGCAGCGACGCCGCGUGAGCGAUGAAGGCCUUCGGGUUGUAAAGCUCUGUGGGGAGGAAAGAAUAAGGCAUGGCUAAUAUCCAUGUCGAUGACGGUACCUCCUUAGCAAGCACCGGCUAACUCUGUGCCAGCAGCCGCGGUAAGACAGGGGGUGCAAACGUUGUUCGGAAUUACUGGGCGUAAAGCGCGUGUAGGCGGCCCUGCAAGUCGGAUGUGAGAUCCCACGGCUCAACCGUGGAAGUGCAUUCGAAACUGCAGGGCUAGAGUCCUGGAGAGGAAGGUGGAAUGCUUGGUGUAGAGGUGAAAUUCGUAGAUAUCAAGCGGAGCACCGGUGGCGAAGGCGGCCUUCUGGACAGUGACUGACGCUGAGACGCGAAAGCGUGGGGAGCAAACAGGAUUAGAUACCCUGGUAGUCCACGCCGUAAACGAUGAGUGCUAGGUGUCACGGGCUUUGACCCUCGUGGUGCCGAAGCUAACGCGUUAAGCACUCCGCCUGGGGAGUACGGUCGCAAGACUAAAACUCAAAGGAAUUGACG
rnacentral:rRNA from 1 species